rnacentral:rRNA from 1 species
CGCGUAGGUGGUUUGUCAGGUCUGAUGUGAAAUCCUGGGGCUCAACCCCAGGCCUGCAUCGGAAACCGGCUUACUAGAGUCUGGGAGAGGAGAGUGGAAUUCCUGGUGUAGCGGUGAAAUGCGUAGAUAUCAGGAGGAACACCGGUAGCGAAGGCGGCUCUCUGGAACAGUACUGACACUGAGGCGCGAAAGCUAGGGGAGCAAACA